rnacentral:snoRNA from 1 species
CCCAGCUCCUACCAAUUGCCUAGGUUGCAUUGUACCUAGGUAAGUGUUAUACUGCUGGGGGAAAAGCAGCCAAUAGCUGGCAGGCAUGCUGGACUUGGCUAAUUCCAAACUUGGGUUAACUAUGCCAGUAUGCUAGCAUA